CCAGACUCCUACGGGAGGCAGCAGUGAGGAAUAUUGGUCAAUGGACGAGAGUCUGAACCAGCCAAGUAGCGUGCAGGAUGACGGCCCUAUGGGUUGUAAACUGCUUUUAUGCGGGGAUAAAGUGAGGGACGUGUCCCUCAUUGCAGGUACCGCAUGAAUAAGGACCGGCUAAUUCCGUGCCAGCAGCCGCGGUAAUACGGAAGGUCCGGGCGUUAUCCGGAUUUAUUGGGUUUAAAGGGAGCGUAGGCCGCAGGUUAAGUGUGUUGUGAAAAGCAGUCGCCCAACGUCUGCCUUGCAGCGCAAACUGUCCUGCUUGAGUGCGCACAACGCAGGCGGAAUUCGUCGUGUAGCGGUGAAAUGCUUAGAUAUGACGAAGAACUCCGAUUGCGAAGGCAGCUUGCGGGAGCGCAACUGACGCUGAAGCUCGAAAGUGCGGGUAUCGAACAGGAUUAGAUACCCUGGUAGUCCGCACGGUAAACGCUGGAUGCCCGUUUUUGGCUUAUUUUAAGUCAGAGACCAAGCGAAAGCAUUAAGCAUCCCACCUGGGGAGUACGCCGGCAACGGUGAAACUCAAAGGAAUUGACGGGGGCCCGCACAAG
rnacentral:rRNA from 1 species